rnacentral:rRNA from 1 species
AUUGAACGCUGGCGGCAUGCCUUACACAUGCAAGUCGAACGGUAACAGGUCUUCGGAUGCUGACGAGUGGCGAACGGGUGAGAAAUGCAUCGGAACGUGCCCAGUAGUGGGGGAGAGCCCGGAGAAAGCAGGAUUAAUACCGAAUACGACCUGAGGGUGAAAGGGGGGGAUCGCAAGAACUCUCCCUAUUGGACCGGCCGGUGUCAGAUUAGCUAGUUGGUGGGGAAAAGGCCUACCAAGGCCACGAUCUGUAGUUGGUCUGAGAGGACGACCAGCCACACUGGGACUGAGACUCGGCCCAGACUCCUACGAGAGGCAGCAGUGGGGAAUUUUGGACAAUGGGCGCAAGCCUGAUCCAGCAAUGCCGCGUGCAGGAAGAAGGCCUUCGGGUUGUAAACUGCUUUUGUCAGGGAAGAAAUCCUCUAGGUUAAUACCCUUGGGGGGAUGACGGUACCUGAAGAAUAAGCACCGGCUAACUACGUGCCAGCCGCCGCCGUAAAAC